rnacentral:lncRNA from 1 species
CUCGGCCUCUAGGAAAUUCCUUUCCAUGGUUAUGACCGUGAGCAUUAUCAACCCCUGAAGCCUAUGAAUCAGCUACUGUUAAAUGGUCUGACCAACAUCCCCUUGACAGAGUUCCUGAUUCUCUGAAUUUGUGCAGAUUCGCCUUCCUUGGCAUGUUCCGUCCACAGCAAGAAGAGCCUACCAAUUUGUUGCUUCAGAGCACUGCGAAGAAAAGCAUGAAACUCAAAGAUCGGCCUGUUGCGCUCUUUCCAUAAGCACCAGAAUCCUGCCGCCAGAAGAAUAUCUAACCCCUGCC